rnacentral:tRNA from 2 species
AGUAAGAUAAGCUAAGUGUAAGCUAUGGGUCUCACGUCCCCCAAAAGAAGGUUGAAACCCUUCUCUUCCUA